rnacentral:rRNA from 1 species
CCUACGGGAGGCAGCAGUGAGGAAUAUUGGUCAAUGGGCGCGAGCCUGAACCAGCCAAGUAGCGUGAAGGAUGAAUGCCCUACGGGUUGUAAACUUCUUUUAUAAGGGAAUAAAGAGUGGCACGUGUGCCUUUUUGUGUGUACUUUAUGAAUAAGGAUCGGCUAACUCCGUGCCAGCAGCCGCGGUAAUACGGAGGAUCCGAGCGUUAUCCGGAUUUAUUGGGUUUAAAGGGAGCGUAGAUGGGUUGUUAAGUCAGUGGUGAAAGUGUGCGGCUCAACCGUAAAAUUGCAAUUGAUACUGGCAGCCUUGAGUAGAGUUGAGGUAGGCGGAAUGCGUGGUGUAGCGGUGAAAUGCAUAGAUAUCACGAAGAACUCCGAUUGCGAAGGCAGCUUGCUAAACUGCCACUGACAUUGAUGCUCGAAAGUGUGGGUAUCAAACAGGAUUAGAUACCCUAGUAGUC